rnacentral:rRNA from 1 species
CUCGGGGGGGGCAUUAAAUAAUCAAUAAUUUUGGCUUGUCCAUCAUUAUCUAUUUACUGUGAACUGUAUUAUUACUUGACGCUUGAGGGAUGUUCCAAUGCUAUAAGGAUAGGCACUGGAAAUGUUAACCGAGUCAUAAUCAAGCUUAGGCUUGGUAUCCUAUUAUUAUUUACCAAAAGAAUUCAGAAUUAAUAUUGUAACAUAGACGUAAAAAAUCUAUAAAACAACUUUUAACAACGGAUCUCUUGGUUCUCGCAUCGAUGAAGAACGUAGCAAAGUGCGAUAACUAGUGUGAAUUGCAUAUUCAGUGAAUCAUCGAGUCUUUGAACGCAACUUGCGCUCAUUGGUAUUCCAAUGAGCACGCCUGUUUCAGUAUCAAAACAAACCCUCUAUCCAACUUUUGUUGAAUAGGAUGACUGAGAGUCUCUUGAUCUAUUCUGAUCUUGAACCUCUUGAAAUGUACAAAGGCCUGAUCUUGUUUGAAUGCCUGAACUUUUUUUUAAUAUAAAGAGAAGCUCUUGCGAUAAAACUGUGCUGGGGCCUCCCAAAUAACACAUCUUUAAAUUUGAUCUGAAAUCAGGUGGGAUUACCCGCUGAACUUAAGCAUAUCAAGGGGGGAGAGAGAA